GAUGAUUCCAGCCCAGGGCCCGGCAGAGAGGGCGCUCUGUAGCACAGUGAGGUCUGAGAGUCCGCGUCUUGGCAUCUAAUUGAAUGUCUACUACGAUGUGGGUGGGUUCCAGCUCUCUCAGAAGCAGAUCCUGAGAGAAGGACUGAAGUGCAAGCAGCUAUGUGGGAGGUGAUCCCAGGAAACGCCUGUAGGGGAGAGGAAAAUGGAGCCGCCCAAGUCCCUGCAGGGACUUCACUGAGAAAUAAAUGACUGAGGCUUCCGCUGUGGACAACCGGGCUCAAGCCUGUUGGGACCUUCACGUCGACUGCUUGGCUGUGAUGUUUGGAGCUGGCACAGUCAUCUUGUCUCCUUGAAGCAUAACAUCAUCAACAUGCUGAGGAUGGAAGAGCAGAGAGCUGAAAGGAGCCGGGGCCCUGGUGAGCAUGGUCCUGUCAGCAUAAUGUCAUCAAUGUAAUGGAUGAAUGUUUAUGUCUUCUGGAAGGGGAAGGCAAUCAAAAUCUCUGUGAACUGAUUGUGACAUAGAGCUGGAGAGCUGACACACUCCUAUCAGUGUAGGUAUAUUGCUUGCCUUGCCAGCUAAAGUAAACUGCUUCUGGAAGUCUUCACUAACAGAGAUGGAGAAAAAAGCAUUUGCUGGACCAAUAGCUGCACACCAUGUACCAGGGUUUGUGCUAAUUUCCUCAAGCAAUGAAACUACAUCUGCUACAAUUGAAGUCAACACCUGAUUAAGUUCACGAUAAUCCAUCCACUGUCGUCCUCCAAAAUCCAUCUGUCUUCUGCACAGUCCAAUAGGAUGAAUCACAUCAGUCUCCCAGACAAUGUCUUAAAGAAGAGAAGCAGGAGGAAAGUGAAAUCUAAAAAGAGGCCAUUUGGACCAGCACAUGUGGAGAGUUAAAUAUUGAAUAAACCCUCAAUAAAAAUAA
rnacentral:lncRNA from 1 species